AACAAACGCUGGCGGCGUGCCUAAUACAUGCAAGUCGAACGGGGUAGCAAUACCUAGUGGCGCACGGGUGAGGAACGCGUGGAUAAUCUGCCUUAGAGUGGGGGAUAACUAGUCGAAAGAUUAGCUAAUACCGCAUAAGACCACAGGAGCUGCGGCUCUAGGGAUCAAAGGUUUUUCGCUCUAAGAUGAGUCCGCGUAAGAUUAGCUAGUUGGUGAGGUAACGGCUCACCAAGGCGACGAUCUUUAACUGGUCUGAGAGGAUGGUCAGUCACACUGGAACUGAGACACGGUCCAGACUCCUACGGGAGGCAGCAGUAGGGAAUAUUGCACAAUGGAGGAAACUCUGAUGCAGCGACGCCGCGUGAGUGAUGAAGGCCUUCGGGUCGUAAAGCUCUGUCGCAGGGGAAUAACACAAUGAAUGUACCCUGUAAGAAAGGAUCGGCUAACUUCGUGCCAGCAGCCGCCGUAAGAC
rnacentral:rRNA from 1 species